AUGAACGCUAGCUACAGGCUUAACACAUGCAAGUCGAGGGGCAGCAUGAACUUAGCUUGCUAAGUUUGAUGGCGACCGGCGCACGGGUGAGUAACACGUAUCCAACCUGCCGAUGACUCGGGGAUAGCCUUUCGAAAGAAAGAUUAAUACCCGAUGGCAUAGUUCUUCCGCAUGGUAGAACUAUUAAAGAAUUUCGGUCAUCGAUGGGGAUGCGUUCCAUUAGGUUGUUGGCGGGGUAACGGCCCACCAAGCCUUCGAUGGAUAGGGGUUCUGAGAGGAAGGUCCCCCACAUUGGAACUGAGACACGGUCCAAACUCCUACGGGAGGCAGCAGUGAGGAAUAUUGGUCAAUGGACGAGAGUCUGAACCAGCCAAGUAGCGUGAAGGAUGACUGCCCUAUGGGUUGUAAACUUCUUUUAUACGGGAAUAAAGUGAGGCACGUGUGCCUUUUUGUAUGUACCGUAUGAAUAAGGAUCGGCUAACUCCGUGCCAGCAGCCGCGGUAAUACGGAGGAUCCGAGCGUUAUCCGGAUUUAUUGGGUUUAAAGGGAGCGUAGGCGGACGCUUAAGUCAGUUGUGAAAGUUUGCGGCUCAACCGUAAAAUUGCAGUUGAUACUGGGUGUCUUGAGUACAGUAGAGGCAGGCGGAAUUCGUGGUGUAGCGGUGAAAUGCUUAGAUAUCACGAAGAACUCCGAUUGCGAAGGCAGCUUGCUGGACUGUAACUGACGCUGAUGCUCGAAAGUGUGGGUAUCAAACAGGAUUAGAUACCCUGGUAGUCCACACAGUAAACGAUGAAUACUCGCUGUUUGCGAUAUACAGUAAGCGGCCAAGCGAAAGCGUUAAGUAUUCCACCUGGGGAGUACGCCGGCAACGGUGAAACUCAAAGGAAUUGACGGGGGCCCGCACAAGCGGUGGAGUAUGUGGUUUAAUUCGAAGCAACGCGAAGAACCUUACCAGAUCUUGACAUCCCUCUGACCGUCCCGUAAUGGGGACUUUCCUUCGGGACAGAGGAGACGGGUGGUGCAUGGUUGUCGUCAGCUCGUGUCGUGAGAUGUUGGGUUAAGUCCCGCAACGAGCGCAACCCUUGUUGUCAGUUACUAACAGGUGAUGCUGAGGACUCUGACAAGACUGCCAUCGUAAGAUGUGAGGAAGGUGGGGAUGACGUCAAAUCAGCACGGCCCUUACGUCCGGGGCUACACACGUGUUACAAUGGGGGGUACGGAAGGCAGCUACACGGCGACGUGAUGCUAAUCCCUAAAGCCUCUCUCAGUUCGGAUUGGAGUCUGCAACCCGACUCCAUGAAGCUGGAUUCGCUAGUAAUCGCGCAUCAGCCACGGCGCGGUGAAUACGUUCCCGGGCCUUGUACACACCGCCCGUCAAGCCAUGGGAGCUGGGGGUGCCUGAAGUUCGUGACCGCAAGGAGCGACCUAGGGCAAAACCGGUGACUGGGGCU
rnacentral:rRNA from 1 species